rnacentral:sRNA from 1 species
AAAAAAAUUAUCGGGUCGGGUUCGGGUUCGAGUUAUUUAUAUAUUGAAAUAUCAAAUUUUGUGUGCAAAUCUAUUAAAUUACUUGAAAUUUUCAAAAAUUCUCAAAACAACAUGAGUAGUUUUGCUUGAAUAUAUCUAAAAAUACACAAAAAUAACUAAAAUAUCCAAAAAAAUCCUAAUAUUUUCUAUAUAUAAGUAUAAAUAUAACUAAUAUAUACUUAUAUUUGAGAUAUGUUUGGAUACUUAUUCGGGUUUGGGUUUGAGUUUUUCGAGUUUUAAAGUUUAGAUCCGUUCGAGUAUUUGAAAAUUUCGGGUACACCCGCCUAAAUAGGCGGGCCUUAUCUAGUUAUAUAUAAUAUGUUAUUUAUUGUAUAACUUUGGGGACUACUACUCUCACAAGAAACAUUUGACUUCA